UGGAAAGUAAAGUGUAACAAGGUCUCCGUUGGUGAACCUGCGGAGGGAUCAUUAUCGAGUUUCUAACUCUUAAACCAUUUGUGAACUUACCUUUUUUAGCUGCUUUGGCAGUUACCUUCGGGGAACCUGCCAGCAGUAUAAACAAACUCUUUUUAUUUCUAGAGAAUUUAUUCAUUGCUGAGUGGCAUUAACUAAAUAAGUUAAAACUUUCAACAACGGAUCUCUUGGCUCUAGCAUCGAUGAAGAACGCAGCGAAAUGCGAUACGUAAUGUGAAUUGCAGAACUCAGUGAAUCAUCGAAUCUUUGAACGCACAUUGCGCCUGGCAGCAUUCUGCCAGGCAUGCCUGUCCGAGCGUCAUUUCACCACUCAAGCUCUGCUUGGUGUUGGAGGACCCGCGUUUUCUUUUGCGGGCCGCCGAAAUGAAUCGGCUGUUAUACUUGCAGCUUCCCUGCGUAGUAAUCUUUGUGUUACGCUUUGAAACUCUUGUACUACAUGCCGUUAAACCCCAUCAAUUUAUUUUUGAAAGGUUGACCUCGGAUCAGGUAGGAGUACCCGCUGAACUUAAGCAUAUCAU
rnacentral:rRNA from 1 species